GAGAGCAUCCCAGGACCACUGAACAUUCAGAGGGCGGGAGGCAGAGAAAAACUUCCCCUACUCAAGAAAAAGAAGCUAUUUUUGUCAAGUUAAAUGAGCCUGAACCUGCAGAGCUGAAUUGGCAGAUGAAUAUUGCUAAUUGGUGCAGUUUCUUCGGUGCAGGAAAGAGUUUCCAAUCAGACCGGCGAUUCAUCGGCCACAUGAAGAUGCUGUGCUGGGGCCUGGGCAAAGCCAGGCAAGAAGUGGUUCCUGCUAUCAGGCUGACUAACAUCUAUCAGAAAGAACAGAUCACGACUCAGCCUGCCUGCACCCAGGUGAAAUAAACAGCAUUGUUGCUCACACAUAGCCUGUUUGGUGGUCUCUUCACACGGAUGCGCAUGAAAUUUGAUGCCGUGACUCAGAUCCGGAGACCUCCCUUGGGAGAUCAAUCCCUGUCCUCCUGCUCUUUGCUCCGUGAAAAAGAUCCACCUACAACCUCAAGUCCUUAGACCCACCAGCCCAAGGAACAUCUCACCAAUUUUAAAUCAGCAAAAUGACAUGAAUGACUGAAAAAGCAUGUGGAGCACAAGACUCAAGAACU
rnacentral:lncRNA from 1 species